UACAGCCGAGUCAGGCUGUGAGUGCAAAAUCAGUGUCGCUCCGUUCCACUCAUUCGUGAUUCUCCAUAACGGUCUUUGUGUUUCCUUGUCACCAUCAGAGCUUGAUGGCUUAGCUGGUUUUGAAACUCUGAAAUAAAUUCUUUGACGGAGAAGAAACAUGUCAACUAACUGGCCAAAUUAAGCCUAAAAUCAGAUCCGGUUUGCACGUCAUUGCAGAUGGAGUUCAUACAGUUUGCACAACUCGGUGAGACUUGGAAAUGGUUAUAGACGAUAUACUAGCCAGAGGCAGUAAAAGG